rnacentral:ncRNA from 1 species
CAGAGUAGAAUUCUGCGCGUUAAGUGCGCUGCGUACGGAGAGUUGACGCGGCGACGAAAAAUCCGGGUAAGACGUAUGCAAAGCCGUAAGGCGGUAUAUACGGCUUAUCCAGAGGAUUUGCGGUGCAGGAUUCGCAUCUCGCUG